GGGCCCGCACAAGCGGUGGAGCAUGUGGUUUAAUUCGAUGAUACGCGAGGAACCUUACCUGGGCUUAAAUGCAGAACGACAGACUAUGAAAAUAGUUUUUCUUCGGACGUUUUGCAAGGUGCUGCAUGGUUGUCGUCAGCUCGUGCCGUGAGGUGUUGGUUAAGUCCCGCAACGAGCGCAACCCCUAUUCUUAGUUGCCAUCGAGUAAUGUCGGGGACUCUAAGAAAACUGCCCGCGCAAGCGUGGAGGAAGGUGGGGAUGACGUCAAAUCAUCACGGCCCUUACGUCCAGGGCCACACACGUGCUACAAUGGUAGGGACAGAGGGCAGCCACCUGGUGACAGG
rnacentral:rRNA from 1 species